CCUCUGGUGUACCAGUUGUUCUGCCAAGGGCAUGGCUGGGUAGCUAUGUACGGAAUGGAUAAGCGCUGAAAGCAUCUAAGCGCGAAGCCAACUUCAAGAUAAGAUUUCCCACCGCAAGGGUAAGACUCCAGAAAGACUAUCUGGUUGAUAGGUCGAAGGUGUAAGUGCAGCAAUGUAUUUAGCUUAUCGAUACUAAUAGGUCGAGGACUUGACCAAU
rnacentral:rRNA from 1 species